GAUGAACGCUGGCGGCGUGCCUAACACAUGCAAGUCGAGCGAGAAGCUUCUGAUGGAUUCUUCGGAAGAAAGAGGAAGUGGAAAGCGGCGGACGGGUGAGUAACGCGUAGGCAACCUGCCCCUUGCAGAGGGAUAGCCACUGGAAACGGUGAUUAAAACCUCAUAACACUUUACAUUCACAUGGAAGUAAAGCCAAAGAUUUAUCGGCAAGGGAUGGGCCUGCGUCUGAUUAGCUGGUUGGUGGGGUAACGGCCCACCAAGGCAACGAUCAGUAGGGGUUCUGAGAGGAAGGUCCCCCACAUUGGAACUGAGACACGGUCCAAACUCCUACGGGAGGCAGCAGUGAGGAAUAUUGGUCAAUGGGCGAGAGCCUGAACCAGCCAAGUAGCGUGCAGGAUGACGGCCCUAUGGGUUGUAAACUGCUUUAUAAGGGAUAAAGUGGGUCUCGUGAGACUUUUGCAUGUACCUUAUGAAUAAGGACCGGCUAAUUCCGUGCCAGCAGCC
rnacentral:rRNA from 1 species